GUUCGGGGAGGUGCGGAAAUGCAGAGAAAGGGGGCAUUUUUGUGACUGUGAGAUCAUCCCAAACUUUUAAACGCUGUUAACAAUGCUCUCGGAGUCAAACUCCCAAGAGCGGAAGAGCACACGUUGAACUCCA